CAAAACUGAACACAGGAUUUGAGUGGCAAUUACAGGGGAAGAAUCACAUCCCUGGUCCUGCUGGCCACACUACCUCCAAUACAGGCCAGGAUGCCACAGGCCAUGAAAACAGCAGGUGCCCAGGAAAAUUAGCACAGGCUGCCUUUUUCAUCAGGUUUUUUUCUUCAGCAAUCAGAUAAUACACUUCAGUGCCAUGAAGCCUCAGCACCACAAAAUUCAGGUUUCAGCUCACUGUGAUACCUCUGCAGACCUCACCAGGAUUUACCCCCCAGGGUGAAGGACUUGUGUGAGAGAGUUUAGUCCUGACAAAGGCUCACGCAGAACAAGCACAGGGACCACGACCUACCCCUCACAAGGCACCAAGUUAAUGUGUGCAGCAGCCCCAUAAGAGCAGCUUGCAGCACCUUUCUCUUCAUCUGGAGCACAU